rnacentral:sRNA from 1 species
AGAAGAGCGGGAAGAGGCGGACAGCGAGGCCAAGAUUUCAGCUGCGGGACGGUCAGGGGAGACCUCCAGGCGCAGGGAAGGACGUGAGGAGGGGAAGCGGGCUGGGGCGGCAGCCGGGCGGAGGGGCAGCUGCGCAGGCGGAAUGAGGAACGCCUUUGCUCUAAGGCGACCACCCUGGCAGCUCUUCACUGAGGGGCCUCGGUUUCCACAUCGGUCGCUCUCCGGUCCCAAGACCACCAGGACCGACGGGGCUCUCCGGGAGGGUCAGCCCCUCCGGUGGCCCCAGUCAUGCAUCAGGGGACGGAUCAGAAGGGCUAGGAGACGGGUCGUGGGGAAGGCCCCAGAAAAAAGAGGAAGGAGGGAAGAUUUUGCCUGAAGCGGGAAAGCCAAGGGUUGGGCGGCGCGAGACCCCCAUUCCUAGCGACUGGGGCGGGCUGGUGGCCCGCUGCAGCCCCCGCGCCGGGAGGGUUAGGCCUCCCGCCGUUCCCACCCGUCCGGGCCCUCCCACGUGUUUAGGUCCUCCCAAAAGUAUUCGGCCUCCGGCCCCUGCCCCUUCCCCCAGCCGGCCUGGACCUCGGGGACGCGGGGGGAACUCCGUGGGAGCAGGCGGAUUCUGGACGGGGAGGGAGUCGUGGUCGGGGAGAAGGCUGAGCGGGGAAAGGAGAGAGGGGCUCCGGGGACGGCAGGGAGGAGAGUGGGUCGUGCCGGAGACCCAGGGAGACACAGAAUGAGCAAGAUGAGGGGUGUAGGGUGGGAGUGGGAACUGACUGAUUCCCAGCGUGGGCAGGGGAACUUUGCUAAAACUGCAGGCCCCAGGGAACAGCGCGGGCAGGGUGGGAGGGAACGGAGAGGGCCAGGCGGACCUCAAGGUCAAUUUGGAGAAAGGGCCAUUUCCAGGCUCCUUCACCUCUGCCCAGCGUUCUACAGGCCUGGCCCCCCCGCAGAACAGGGCGCGGGAGGAGGCGGCUCGGGCUGGCUCGGAGAGCUGAGGGGCGCACACCCGCUUCGCAGGGCCAGGGUGACACGGAAGCAUGCGACGGCUGCUGAUUCCUCUGGCUCUGUGGCUGGGCGCGGUGGGCGUGGGCGUCGCCGAGCUCACGGAAGCCCAGCGCCGGGGCCUGCAGGUGGCCCUGGAGGAAUUUCACAAGCACCCGCCCGUGCAGUGGGCCUUCCAGGAGACCAGUGUGGAGAGCGCCGUGGACACGGUGAGUAGCAUGGCCCCGGCGGGAGCGGGGAGGGUCGCACCCCAGGAGACCAGCGCAUUCCCAGGAAGCGGGACAGAAGUGCUUGGGCUCUGAGCCCCAGCCCUUUGGAGAAAAGGCCCCUGUCCAGCCUGCUGGGAUGUGACUGCGUGAGGGAGGGAUCACACCAGGGCUUGCUCUGCACCCUCAGCUGGCUACCGGCCAUCCUCUGCCUGCCUGUCUGUCCGCAGCCCUUCCCAGCUGGAAUAUUUGUGAGGCUGGAAUUUAAGCUCCAGCAGACAAGCUGCCGGAAGAGGGACUGGAAGAAACCCGAGUGCAAAGUCAGGCCCAAUGGGAGGAAACGGAAAUGCCUGGCCUGCAUCAAACUGGGCUCUGAGGACAAAGUUCUGGGCCGGUUGGUCCACUGCCCCAUAGAGACCCAAGUUCUGCGGGAGCCUGAGGAGCACCAGGAGACCCAGUGCAUCAGGGUGCAGCGGGCUGGUGAGGACCCCCACAGCUUCUACUUCCCUGGACAGUUCGCCUUCUCCAAGGCCCUGCCCCGCAGCUGAGCCAGCACUGAGCUGCGUGGCGCCUCCAGGACCGCUGCCGGUGGUAACCAGUGGAAGACCCCAGCCCCCAGGGAGAGGACCCCGUUCUAUCCCCGGCCAUGAUAAUAAAGCUGCUCUCCCAGCUGCCUCUCAG